CAGUUGGAGCUCGCUCCAAUCUGGGAUAGACACCCUUGCCUUUGAGUACCUCUUCGUUUCCUCGGCGGGUUCGCUCGCCGGUGGACAACCAUAAACUCUUUGUAAUAAGCAGUACCUUCUGAGAAAAACAAAUAGUCA
rnacentral:misc_RNA from 1 species